GUAGGUGGCAAGCGUUGUCCGGAAUUAUUGGGGCGUAAGCGCGCGCAGGCGGUUCUUUAAGUCUGAUGUGAAAGCCCACGGGCUCAACCGUGGAGGGUCAUUGGAAACUGGAGAACUUGAGUACAGAAGAGGAAAGCGGAAUUCCACGUGUAGCGGUGAAAUGCGUAGAGAUGUGGAGGAACACCAGUGGCGAAGGCGGCUUUCUGGUCUGUAACUGACGCUGAGGCGCGAAAGCGUGGGGAGCAAACAGGAUUAGAUACCCUGGUAGUCCACGCCGUAAACGAUGAGUGCUAAGUGUUAGGGGGUUUCCGCCCCUUAGUGCUGCAGCUAACGCAUUAAGCACUCCGCCUGGGGAGUACGGCCGCAAAGGCUG
rnacentral:rRNA from 1 species